GGGUCGGUAGCUCAGUGUGGAAGAGCGUACGUGUUACUAAAACCGUAAGGACGCGGGUUCAAAUCCUGCUCGACCCUCCA
rnacentral:tRNA from 1 species